AUCCCGAGCGGAGACGGCUCCGACGGGGGAAAUAAAACCCCAGCAGAGCUCUGGUCUGGGGGCAGAAAACACCGUUCCAGGAGCCAGAGACGGAGCUGGGCCCGGGGCCACCGCCGGCACCAUCGCCGCGGCCACAAACCUCCCCGAAGGAAGCUGCAGAUGAAGCCCUACCUGGAAGCCGUUUGGGUACCCAUCGCCUUCGCUGAUGGAGUCCAGGGGCUCCUCGUCGUCCAGCGUCGCCCGCUUGUACGUCGACAUCUGCACGGCGAGAUGGGCAAGCAGAGGUGCUCAGCGGCUCGGGGUCAAGGAAGAGGAGGAGGAAGGAGGGCGAGGAAGGAAUAUGAACCCUCUAAAAACACCUUCUCCUGCAGGCAGCUAAACCCCGAAUGGCUCCAGGGCAGUAAAGCGCUAAACAAAACGCCGGAGGAAGGUUAUGGAAAGCAACAAGGGCUGGAGCCAAAAGCUGAGUGAAGCCCGAACCCGCCUCGCUUUCCCCCCGGGGCCGGGUUGUGCAACCUCCCCUUCUUCAGGCUGGAAUAAAGCCGGGUCCUCCUCCACCAGUUCCCAGCUCCGAAUCAAGGAGAGGGACCCCCAUGCUCCAGGGAUCCCCGGUGUACCGGCCGCCGGAGACAGGCUGGUAGCAAAGGAAAGAGCUUUUCACCCCGAAUCCACGCCCGGCCACGACCCCUGCGCACCCCAAAACAGCCUUCGGAGCACCCGAAGGGCACCUUGAACCGGGACUGCCGACGGGCUCCCUCCUGGCUCCUUGUGCCGCGGCUGUUAUCUCGCACCGGUGCCCGGCUCUUACCUCAUCCCGCAGUAGAAAAACAAGGGAAAACCUCAGGGUUGGCAGCCAGCCCUUAUCGUGCCGCCGCCGUUUCCUUCCCCCCUGGCACAGCCCUGCCAGCCGGCCGGAUUGUCUCCCUCGGGGAAAACAACCUCUGCCAGCUGCCGAGGGGUGAGCCUCGCAACACCCACCCCGACCCCCACCACCGGUCACAUCCCUUCACCCCGCGUGUGGCACAGGGUGAGGGUCUGCACCUCGGGGAUGUCCCCAUCCUGCUUCCAUCAUGCUCAAAGGCAUGGAGGCGAUCCGAGCGCGGCACAGCCCAGCCUCAGGUGCCCCUGGCAGGAAGGUGCAGGCAGCGAAACUGCCAAUUCUCAGCCCCGACUCCAGUAACAAACUUCCCAAGCCUGCCCUUGCACAAUUAGUAACAAAUCCCAUGCUCUUCCCAAAUCCCAUCCUCUUCCUGAAUCCCCAAUCACACCCUGGGUUUAACUAACCAAGCAAAACUACUCGAGGAGGAAAAAGGAUUAAAAAGGCACUUCCUCUCCCUGGUUAUGCCAAAAAAUACUAUUUCCAGUCCCAAAAACGUCCCUCAGGUGCCCACUUCGAGCCUGCAGAGCUCGAGGUGAAAAAGCUUUAACUGCAAGAUGUUAUCGCUGCUGAAA